rnacentral:rRNA from 1 species
ACGAACGCUGGCGGCGUGCCUAAUACAUGCAAGUAGAACGCACAAUUUAUACCGUAGCUUGCUACACCAUAGACUGUGAGUUGCGAACGGGUGAGUAACGCGUAGGUAACCUGCCUGGUAGCGGGGGAUAACUAUUGGAAACGAUAGCUAAUACCGCAUAAUAUUGAUUAUUGCAUGAUAAUUAAUUGAAAGGUGCAAUUGCACCACUACCAGAUGGACCUGCGUUGUAUUAGCUAGUAGGUGAGGUAACGGCUCACAUAGGCGACGAUACAUAGCCGACCUGGGGGGGUGAUGGCCCACACUGGGAUGGAAACACGGCCCAGACUCCACGGGGGGGCAGAAGUAGGGAAUUUUCGGAAAUGGAAGAAAGUCUGACCGGGCAACGCCGCGUGGGUGAAGAAGGUUUUGGGAUCGUAAAGCUCUGUUGUAAGGGAAGAACGGUUGGGAGAGGGGAAAGUUCACACUAGGGCGGUAUUUUACAAAAAAAGGAGGGCUAACUCCGG